rnacentral:rRNA from 1 species
AUUGAACGCUGGCGGAAUGCUUUACACAUGCAAGUCGAACGGCAGCACGGACUUCGGUCUGGUGGCGAGUGGCGAACGGGUGAGUAAUGUAUCGGAACGUGCCCAGUCGUGGGGGAUAACGUAGUGAAAAUUACGCUAAUACCGCAUACGAUCUAUGGAUGAAAGCGGGGGAUCGCAAGACCUCGCGCGAUUGGAGCGGCCGAUAUCAGAUUAGGUAGUUGGUGGGGUAAAGACCAACCAAGCCAACGAUCUGUAGCUGGUCUGAGAGGACGACCAGCCACACUGGAACUGAGACACGGUCCAGACGCCUACGGGAGGCAGCAGUGGGGAAUUUUGGACAAUGGGCGAAAGCCUGAUCCAGCCAUUCCGCGUGCAGGAUGAAGGCCCUCGGGUUGUAAACUGCUUUUGUACAGAACGAAAAGGCUUCUACUAAUACUAGGAGCUCAUGACGGUACUGUAAGAAUAAGCACCGGCUAACUACGUGCCAGCAGCCGCAGUAA